AUUGAACGCUGGCGGCAUGCCUUACACAUGCAAGUCGAACGGCAGCACGGACUUCGGUCUGGUGGCGAGUGGCGAACGGGUGAGUAAUGUAUCGGAACGUACCUUUCAGUGGGGGGAUAACGUAGCGAAAGUUACGCUAAUACCGCAUAUUCUGUGAGCAGGAAAGCAGGGGAUCGCAAGACCUUGCGCUGAUUGAGCGGCCGAUAUCAGAUUAGCUAGUUGGUGAGGUAAAGGCUCACCAAGGCGACGAUCUGUAGCGGGUCUGAGAGGAUGAUCCGCCACACUGGAACUGAGACACGGUCCAGACUCCUACGGGAGGCAGCAGUGGGGAAUUUUGGACAAUGGGGGCAACCCUGAUCCAGCCAUGCCGCGUGAGUGAAGAAGGCCU
rnacentral:rRNA from 1 species